UACAGAGACCUCAAGCGUUAUCCGGAUUUAUUGGGCGUAAAGCGUCCGCAGGUUGUUUGGCCAGUCAGGGGUCAAAACCCAAAGCUUAACUUUGGGGCCGCCUUUGAUACUACCAAACUAGAGAUCGGAAGAGGUAAGCGGAAUUCUCGGUGUAGUCGUAAUAAGCGUUGAUAUCGAGAAGAACACCAAAUGCGAAGGCAGCUUACUAUGGUAUGAUUGACGCUGAGGCACGAAAGCGUGGGGAUCAAACAGG
rnacentral:rRNA from 1 species